GAUGAACGCUAGCUACAGGCUUAACACAUGCAAGUCGAGGGGCAGCGGGAUUGAAGCUUGCUUCAAUUGCCGGCGACCGGCGCACGGGUGAGUAACGCGUAUCCAACCUUCCGUACACUCAGGGAUAGCCUUUCGAAAGAAAGAUUAAUACCUGAUGGUAUGAUGAGAUUGCAUGAUAGCAUCAUUAAAGAUUUAUCGGUGUACGAUGGGGAUGCGUUCCAUUAGGUAGUAGGCGGGGUAACGGCCCACCUAGCCUACGAUGGAUAGGGGUUCUGAGAGGAAGGCCCCCACAUUGGAACUGAGACACGGUCCAAACUCCUACGGGAGGCAGCAGUGGGGAAUAUUGCACAAUGGGGGAAACCCUGAUGCAGCGACGCCGCGUGAGUGAUGAAGUAUUUCGGUAUGUAAAACUCUAUCAGCAGGGAAGAUAAUGACGGUACCUGACUAAGAAGCAACCGGCUAAAAUACGUGC
rnacentral:rRNA from 1 species